rnacentral:rRNA from 1 species
UACGUAGGGUCCGAGCGUUGUUCGGAAUUACUGGGCGUAAAGGGCUCGUAGGCGGUUUGUCGCGUCGGGAGUGAAAACGCCGGGCUUAACCCGGUGCUUGCUUUCGAUACGGGCAGACUGGAGGUAUGCAGGGGAGAACGGAAUUCCUGGUGUAGCGGUGAAAUGCGCAGAUAUCAGGAGGAACACCGGUGGCGAAGGCGGUUCUCUGGGCCUUACCUGACGCUGAGGAGCGAAAGCGUGGGGAGCGAACAGG